rnacentral:rRNA from 1 species
AGUGAACGCUGGCGGUAGGCCUAACACAUGCGAGUCGAACGGCAGCACAGGAGAGCUUGCUCUCUGGGUGGCGAGUGGCGGACGGGUGAGGAAUACAUCGGAAUCUACUCUGUCGUGGGGGAUAACGUAGGGAAACUUACGCUAAUACCGCAUACGACCUACGGGUGAAAGAAGGGGACCUUAGGGCCUUGCGCGAAUGAAUGAGCCGAUGUCGGAUUAGCUAGUUGGCGGGGUAAAGGACCACCAAGGCGACGAUCCGUAGCAGGUCUGGGAGGAUGAUCAGCCACACUGGAACUGAGACACGGUCCAGACUCCUACGGGAGGCAGCAGUGGGGAAUAUUGGACAAUGGGCGCAAGCCUGAUCCAGCCAUACCGCGUGGGUGAAGAAGGCCUUCGGGUUGUAAAGCCCUUUUGUUGGGAAAGAAAUCCAGCUGGCUAAUACCCGGUUGGGAUGACGGUACCCAAAGAAUAAGCACCGGCUAACUUCGUGCCAGCCGCCGCAGUAA